GUGCUCACUUAGGCAGCACAUAUACUAAAAUUGGAAUCAUACAGAGAAGAUUAGCAUGUUCCCUGCACAAGGAUGACACGCAAAUUCGUGGAGCGUUCCAUAUUUUU